rnacentral:rRNA from 1 species
UAACGCGNGGGUAACCUGGCCCAUACAGGGGGAUAACACUUAGAAAUAGGUGCUAAUACCGCAUAACAACAGAAAGCGCAUGCUUUUUGUUUGAAAACCAAGGUGGUAUGGGAUGGACCCGCGUCUGAUUAGCUGGUUGGCGGGGUAAAGGCCCACCAAGGCGACGAUCAGUAGCCGGCCUGAGAGGGUGGACGGCCACAUUGGGACUGAGACACGGCCCAAACUCCUACGGGAGGCAGCAGUGGGGAAUAUUGCACAAUGGGGGAAACCCUGAUGCAGCGACGCCGCGUGAGUGAAGAAGUAAUUCGUUAUGUAAAGCUCUAUCAGCAGGGAAGAAAAUGACGGUACCUGAGUAAGAAGCCCCGGCUAACUACGUGCCAGCAGCCGCGGUAAUACGUAGGGGGCAAGCGCUAUCCGGAUUUACUGGGUGUAAAGGGAGCGUAGACGGCAGUGCAAGUCUGGAGUGAAAGGCGGGGGCUCAACCCCCGGACUGCUCUGGAAACUGUNCGGCUGGAGUGCAGGAGAGGUAAGUGGAAUUCCUAGUGUAGCGGUGAAAUGCGUAGAUAUUAGGAGGAACACCAGUGGCGAANGCGGCUUACUGGACUGUAACUGACGUUGAGGCUCGAAAGCGUGGGGAGCAAACAGGAUUAGAUACCCUGGUAGUCCACGCCGUAAACGAUGAUCACUAGGUGU